rnacentral:lncRNA from 1 species
GUUUUGGAGUGCAGGCGUGAAUAGUCCUUUCUGUCCUGCUUUGAGUACUGCUGUUGGGUGCCUUGGGGGGACCUUAAGGGAGCUCGGAAGUUGAGACGUGGUGAGUGCGAGAUCACUGCCCACAAAGGGGAGGAGCAGGCGGAUGAACAGCCAGAGCUGCAAUGGUGGAUCCUCCUCCAGGGCUGCAUGGGACGACAGAUAGAUGAGGCUCUAGGACGGGCACAAAUGCUACCCGAAUGCAAACCACUCCGGAGAUCUGUAAAAGGACUGGCCCCGGACAGGAAGCACACUUUAAACUAGAGGCGGGGUAAGACUCGUGGGCCAAUCAAGGCUUCCGAACAGAACUGCCAUUCUGGCAAUGAGGCGGGGUCUUCCGGUUGCCUGCUGGAAGUUUGUUUUUGCUCUGCAGGAUUGAAGGGUUCUCCCUAUGCUGCUUUGAGCGCUGCUAUUGGGUGCCUUGAGGGGACCUCAAGUAAGCUCCAUUUUUGAAACAUGAUCUUCAUCCACAUCUUGAAGUUUGAAGUUUGGCCAAGAAUAUACAAAAUAGAUUCUCUUUCUCAGGAUGGCAAGUGUUCAUGACAUCAAUACUACCCAAGGCUUCAGAGUCAUUGGAUUGCAGGUGUCUCUAUGGUUUCAAUUCAGCACUAUUCCAUCCAUCUUUUGGCAGAGUCAGAGCCCCGGUGAAGAUUCUGUGAGAGUUCAUUGUAUUGAAUUUAUGAUGAUGAAGAUUGAGUUGCAUUUUGCGGAAAAGAGAUGUUGAGAUACCUAAGGCAUUGAGAAAUCUGUCAUGCAGACAUGCACACAGGGAGAGGGAGUACCCAAAAUGAUGAGAAGUUACAGGAAUUGGACCAUCUAAGCCCUUAGAAAGUGAAGUCCACUGUGUCUCAAACAAAGAUCUUCAUCCACAUCUUGAAGUUUGAAGUUUGGCCAAGAAUAUACAGAGUAGAUUCUCUUUCUCAGGAUGGCAAGUGUUCAUGACAUCAAUACUACCCAAGGCUUCAGAGUCAUUGGAUUGCAG